AGAGUUUGAUCAUGGCUCAGAACGUACGCUGGCGGCACGCCUAACACAUGCAAGUCGAACGAAGUAGCAAUACUUAGUGGCAGACGGGUGAGUAACAUGUAGGUAUCUACCCUUUGGCCUGGAAUAACACGAGGAAACUUGUGCUAAUACCGGAUAAGUCUUUACGGAGAAAGCUUUAUGCACCAUUGGAUGAGCCUGCACUUGAUUAGUUUGUUGGUAGGGUAAUGGCCUACCAAGACUAUGAUCAAUAGCUGAUUUGAGAGGAUGAUCAGCCACAUUGGGACUGAGACACGGCCCAAACUCCUACGGGAGGCAGCAGUGGGGAAUCUUGCACAAUGGAGGAAACUCUGAUGCAGCGAUGCCGCGUGAGUGAAGAAGGCCCUUGGGUUGUAAAGCUCUUUCGUCGGGGAAGAAAAUGACUGUACCCGAAUAAGAAGGUCCGGCUAACUUCGUGCCAGCAGCCGCGGUAAUACGAAGGGACCUAGCGUAGUUCGGAAUUACUGGGCUUAAAGAGUUCGUAGGUGGUUGAAAAAGUUGGUGGUGAAAUCCCAGAGCUUAACUCUGGAACUGCCAUCAAAACUUUUCAGCUAGAGUAUGAUAGAGGAAAGCAGAAUUUCUAGUGUAGAGGUGAAAUUCGUAGAUAUUAGAAAGAAUACCAAUUGCGAAGGCAGCUUUCUGGAUCAUUACUGACACUGAGGAACGAAAGCAUGGGUAGCGAAGAGGAUUAGAUACCCUCGUAGUCCAUGCCGUAAACGAUGUGUGUUAGACGUUGGAAAUUUAUUUUCAGUGUCGCAGCGAAAGCGAUAAACACACCGCCUGGGGAGUACGACCGCAAGGUUAAAACUCAAAUGAAUUGACGGGGACCCGCACAAGUAGUGGAGCAUGUGGUUUAAUUCGAAGAUACGCGCAGAACCUUACCAACACUUGACAUGUUCGUCGCGACUCUAAGAGAUUAGAGUUUUCGGUUCGGCCGGACGAAACACAGGUGCUGCAUGGCUGUCGUCAGCUCGUGUCGUGAGAUGUUGGGUUAAGUCCCGCAACGAGCGCAACCCUCACUUUUAGUUGCCAUCAUUAAGUUGGGCACUCUGAAAGAACUGCCAGUGAUAAGCUGGAGGAAGGUGGGGAUGACGUCAAGUCCUCAUGGCCCUUACGUGUUGGGCUACACACGUGCUACAAUGGUAUCUACAACAGGAAGCAAAACGGCAACGUUAAGCAAAUCCCGAAAAGAUACCUCAGUUCGGAUUGCACUCUGCAACUCGAGUGCAUGAAGCUGGAAUUACUAGUAAUCGUGGAUCAGCGUGCCACGGUGAAUGCGUUCCCGGGUCUUGUACACACCGCCCGUCACACCAUGGGAGUUGGUUCUACCUUAAGGCAAGGUUUUAAACCCUUGACCACGGUAUAGUCAGCGACUGGGGUGAAGUCGUAACAAGGUA
rnacentral:rRNA from 1 species